UCUCCGUUGGUGAACCAGCGGAGGGAUCAUUACAGAGUUUUAUAACUCCCAACCCUUUGUGAACUUACCUUUGUUGCCUCGGCGGGUCGGGCUGAUGCUUGGGAUGGCUACUCUGUAGCUACCCUGCAGAGGCCGCCGCCGGUGGGAAUUUAAACUAUUGCCAUGUAUUGUCAUCUGAGAGUCUUAUGAGAAUAAGUCAAAACCUUUAACAACGGAUCUCUUGGUUCUGGCAUCGAUGAAGAACGCCAGC
rnacentral:misc_RNA from 1 species